CUGACCCUGCAUACAUUGUCAGCUUUCCGCCCUGCCAGCAUCAGCACCGGCAUCUGUGAAUAACUCAACAGAUAGUUUUUCGGGUUUAUCAAGAUGUAUGAAGUGCAUUGGUUGGUGCCUUGCAAAUUAGAUUGACAGAAGACAGAGUAACAGGGCACUCCAUUUUCAGAAGAGGGAUAUUCAAGGGUCAUGCUGGAGUUAAGAAAUUCAGUGUCCAGAUGUUUCAGAAUCCAGAUGGCCUAUGAAUCCUCUAUCACCCAGAAAGGAGGAAAAUAUGCAUGAAAGUGGAACACUGAAAAGAAAAAAAAUAAUUUAGUGUUGGCAAUGUAAUGGCGACAUACAGGGCUCAAGGAAAAGCUUCCUUUCCUAAAGCAGCAACUUAAUAAAGUGCAUGUUGUAGGCUCUAUCA